UUUGAAGGAUGCCUGCUCAUCAUUAGUGAACUAACCUAUAUUUAAGCCUUCAAUAAUUUAAGAAAUGCAGGUAGUUGAUUAUACAUACAUAUGUACAUACAUACAGGCUGACCAAUUGAAUUAAAGAUUAUUUUAUACUCACGUCGUUAGAACGCUAACUCCGCCCAAAGUCUUUGGGUAACGCCUCCAUGUAUUUGUAAAACCGUAUAGUGAUACUCUUGACAUAUUUAGCGAUAACUCCCGUAUAUAUGUUUAUGUGUAUGUGUUUACGUUAGUCUUUUUUUUCUUCAAUUAAAUAUUUUUAAUUAU